GAACGCUGGCGGCAGGCCUAACACAUGCAAGUCGAACGGUAACAGGAAGCAGCUUGCUGCUUCGCUGACGAGUGGCGGACGGGUGAGUAAUGUCUGGGAAGCUGCCUGAUGGAGGGGGAUAACUACUGGAAACGGUAGCUAAUACCGCAUAAUGUCGCAAGACCAAAGAGGGGGACCUUCGGGCCUCUUGCCAUCGGAUGUGCCCAGAUGGGAUUAGCUUGUUGGUGGGGUAACGGCUCACCAAGGCGACGAUCCCUAGCUGGUCUGAGAGGAUGACCAGCCACACUGGAACUGAGACACGGUCCAGACUCCUACGGGAGGCAGCAGUGGGGAAUAUUGCACAAUGGGCGCAAGCCUGAUGCAGCCAUGCCGCGUGUAUGAAGAAGGCCUUCGGGUUGUAAAGUACUUUCAGCGGGGAGGAAGGGAGUAAAGUUAAUACCUUUGCUCAUUGACGUUACCCGCAGAAGAAGCACCGGCUAACUCCGUGCCAGCAGCCGCGGCAAUACGGAGGGUGCAAGCGUUAAUCGGAAUUACUGGGCGUAAAGCGCACGCAGGCGGUUUGUUAAGUCAGAUGUGAAAUCCCCGGGCUCAACCUGGGAACUGCAUCUGAUACUGGCAAGCUUGAGUCUCGUAGAGGGGGGUAGAAUUCCAGGUGUAGCGGUGAAAUGCGUAGAGAUCUGGAGGAAUACCGGUGGCGAAGGCGGCCCCCUGGACGAAGACUGACGCUCAGGUGCGAAAGCGUGGGGAGCAAACAGGAUUAGAUACCCUGGUAGUCCACGCCGUAAACGAUGUCGACUUGGAGGUUGUGCCCUUGAGGCGUGGCUUCCGGAGCUAACGCGUUAAGUCGACCGCCUGGGGAGUACGGCCGCAAGGUUAAAACUCAAAUGAAUUGACGGGGGCCCGCACAAGCGGUGGAGCAUGUGGUUUAAUUCGAUGCAACGCGAAGAACCUUACCUGGUCUUGACAUCCACGGAAGUUUUCAGAGAUGAGAAUGUGCCUUCGGGAACCGUGAGACAGGUGCUGCAUGGCUGUCGUCAGCUCGUGUUGUGAAAUGUUGGGUUAAGUCCCGCAACGAGCGCAACCCUUAUCCUUUGUUGCCAGCGGUCCCGCCGGGAACUCAAAGGAGACUGCCAGUGAUAAACUGGAGGAAGGUGGGGAUGACGUCAAGUCAUCAUGGCCCUUACGACCAGGGCUACACACGUGCUACAAUGGCGCAUACAAAGAGAAGCGACCUCGCGAGAGCAAGCGGACCUCAUAAAGUGCGUCGUAGUCCGGAUUGGAGUCUGCAACUCGACUCCAUGAAGUCGGAAUCGCUAGUAAUCGUGGAUCAGAAUGCCACGGUGAAUACGUUCCCGGGCCUUGUACACACCGCCCGUCACACCAUGGGAGUGGGUUGCAAAAGAAGUAGGUAGCUUAACCUUCGGGAGGGCGCUUACCACUUUGUGAUUCAUGACUGGGGUGAAGUCGUAACAAGGUAACCGUAGGGGAACCUGCGGUUG
rnacentral:rRNA from 1 species